AUUGAACGCUGGCGGCAGGCCUAACACAUGCAAGUCGAACGAGUGGCGGACGGGUGAGUAAUGUCUGGGAAACCGCCUGUUGGAGGGGGAUCAACACUGGAAACGGUCGCUAAUACCGUAUACUCUAAUUUGUGCCCAGAUGGGAUUAGCUUGUUGGUGGGGUAACGGCUCACCAGGGCGACGACCCCUAGCGGGUCUGAGAGGAUGACCAGCCACACUGGAACGGAGACACGGUCCAGACUCCUACGGGAGGAAGCAGUGGGGAAUAUUGCACAAUGGGCGAAAGCCUGAUGCAGCCAUGCCGCGUGUAUGAAGAGGGCCUUCGGGUUGUAAAGUACUUUCAGCGGGGAGGCGUUACCCGAAGAAGAAGCACCGGCUAACUCCGUGCCAGCAGCCGCGGUAAUAC
rnacentral:rRNA from 1 species